rnacentral:rRNA from 1 species
GACGAACGCUGGCGGCGUGCUUAACACAUGCAAGUCGAACGGAAAGGCCCUGCUUUUGUGGGGUGCUCGAGUGGCGAACGGGUGAGUAACACGUGAGUAACCUGCCCUUGACUUUGGGAUAACUUCAGGAAACUGGGGCUAAUACCGGAUAGGAGCUCCUGCUGCAUGGUGGGGGUUGGAAAGUUUCGGCGGUUGGGGAUGUACUCGCGGCUUAUCAGCUUGUUGGUGGGGUAGUGGCUUACCAAGGCUUUGACGGGUAGCCGGCCUGAGAGGGUGACCGGCCAACUUGGGACUGAGAUACGGCCCAGACUCCUACGGGAGGCAGCAGUGGGGAAUAUUGCACAAUGGGCGGAAGCCUGAUGCAGCAACGCCGCGUGCGGGAUGACGGCCUUCGGGUUGUACACCGCUUUCGCCUGUGACGAAGCGUGAGUGACGGUAAUGGGUAAAGAAGCACCGGCUAACUACGUG